CAACUGAAGAGUUUGAUCCUGGCUCAGAUUGAACGCUAACGGUAUGCUUAACACAUGCAAGUCGAGCGGCAGCAUGACCUGUAGCAAUACAGGUUGAUGGCGAGCGGCGGACGGGUGAGUAAUACGUAGGAAUCUGCCUUACAGUGGGGGAUAACCCGGGGAAACUCGGGCUAAUACCGCAUGAUCUCUCAGGAGCAAAGCGGGGGACUUUCGAGCCUCGUGCUGUAAGAUGAGCCUACGUCGGAUUAGCUAGUUGGUAGGGUAAAGGCCUACCAAGGCAACGAUCCGUAGCUGGUCUGAGAGGAUGAUCAGCC
rnacentral:ncRNA from 1 species